rnacentral:lncRNA from 1 species
ACUUCUGGGAUUACAGGUGUGAGCCACUGUGCCCAGCCUAUGUUCUGCAUUUUUAAGGGGCUCCCAGGUGAUACGGAUGCUGCCAGUACUUCCAUAGGGCACACUGAGCAGCAAGGCUACCGAAGAGCUCAGGACCGUCUGACUUCAGGGCCCAUUGCCCAGAUCAUCUGAAUCGGUGCCCUUGGCUGCUGAUCCAUUAUCUGUUAGAGUGGCCAGGGGCCUCUAGGUCCUUCUCUUCAGCUGUUAGCAGCCUCCUCCAUCGACCUGCUGAGUUGUAUAGCUACCACUCUUUUCUAGGAGUGUCAUGACGUGAACAAGGCUGAGCAGCAUUCACUGGCCCAUCACAGUGCCUCCUUUGUCUUCCAGCUUCACCCCUGGAGGACAGAGCUAUUGGUAUGGAGGUCUCCUGGGGGUGAAGACCAAGAGUCAAGCAAGAGAUCAGGGUCUGCCGCUAGUGUCCUAUUGAUCUGGAGGCUUAAUGGAGGCAGAUGUUUGUAUUUUAGAAAGCUGCUUCCCCUACCCCCAACACAUGGACAGACACACACCCCAAAAUGUAACAAACCCAUUGUCUGCAUCAUCUGUGGUCUUCCUGGAAAACAAGCCUGCCAUGGCCACCUGUCGGCAGUGAUGCCAACUGCUCCCCGGUACAGCUAUUUCCAAGAUUCCAGAGAUGUGGCUGGUUUCACUUCCAGGAAGCUUGCUGGAAGACUGCCCUGUGCCCCACGCCUCAGUAGGGCAGGGGGCCUCCCCUGGUUUUAGGAUCAUGCUUCUCCUGCCUGCUGAUGCUACGAUCAGUGACCAUGGACUCAUAAGGCUUUUGUUUAAGAAUUGCCUAAGAUGUUCUUCAGAUCCUGAAUUCCAGCAGGAAAGCUAAUGCCAACCAGUUUGAAAACAACCACAGAGGAAUCGAAUCAGCACGAGAAUGCAGUUUCUUCAUUUCCCUGUCCCAUGACUUUACUCUGCACUCUUUGACCAAUCAAUAAUCCUGGACCUUGGCCCACUUCAAACCCCUUGAAAUCUCUAGCUCCAACUCCCUGGAGGGGUGGAUUUGAGGUUUCCUCCUGUUUCCUUGUUUGGCUGCCGUAUGAUUAUUAAACUCUUUCUUUGCUGCAAUCCCUGUUGCCUUGGUUUAUUGACUUACUGUGCAUCGGGCAAACAAACCUAUUAUGAUGACAUCAUGACGCAAUAUCCACCUCAAAGGACUGCUGGGAGCCUCAAAAAUUUACAAAUUUGUGAAUUGUAUGUGACUGUCUGAUGCCGGGGAGCAGCAAGGAGCUUUUGGUGAUUGGAGUGCGGUUUAAGUGACUGGCACUGGUGGUUACUGCUGGCCCCAGGGAGUGUGAGGCUAGCAGGAUGACCCAGAUUUCCCAAACCAGGCCAGGGCUCUUUCCAGUGAACCAAGGAUGAUGUGAAGAUGCAGGAGGUGGCAGAGGAAGAUCUCAGAAUAUCACUUAGGAAGACUAGACAGCACUUCAGCACUACACUUCGAGGGCAUUUUAAACAGUGAAAUCAUCAACAAAAAGCACAAAAAUGCAUAAGUGUGGCACCAAAUAGACUGCAAGAAGGACACUUGUUUACGGUUUGAGAGCUGAAACCAGGAGACAGAGUGUUAUCUUAUUUGACUCAAAUUUUUCACCACUCUGAGCAGGUCCGUGAAUGGCCACAAAACUGCUGCGAGAUUUCAUUUUGGGGCUACAAAGGAAUUUUUGCAAGUAGAUGAAUUGGCAAACAUGGAGUCUGUGAAUGAUGAGGAUGGACUGUGUAUGUUGCAUUUGUGGAGAGGACAACUUCAUUGCAGAGGAUGUGUAAAGGGAGCACAGUGCCUAAAGUCUUCAUUAAGGUGUAGGGGACUGAUGUAUCCCCUCCCGAGGGCCCACUGUGCUCAAGAGAAGCAGAGAAUACGCCGGGAGCGGUGGCUCACGCCUGUAAUCCCAGCACUUUGGGAGGCUGAGGCAGGUGGAUCACGAGGU